rnacentral:rRNA from 1 species
GUGUCAGCAGCCGCGGUAAUACGUAGGUGGCAAGCGUUAUCCGGAAUUAUUGGGCGUAAAGCGCGCGUAGGCGGUUUCUUAAGUCUGAUGUGAAAGCCCACGGCUCAACCGUGGAGGGUCAUUGGAAACUGGGAAACUUGAGUACAGAAGAGGAAAGUGGAAUUCCAUGUGUAGCGGUGAAAUGCGCAGAGAUAUGGAGGAACACCAGUGGCGAAGGCUACUUUCUGGUCUGUAACUGACGCUGAUGUGCGAAAGCGUGGGGAUCAAACAGGAUUAGAUA